AUCGCUUCUCAGCCUUUUGGCUAAGAUCAAAUGUAGUAUCUGUUCUUAUCAGUUUAAUAUCUGAUACGUCCUCUAUCAGAGAACCAUAUAUUAAAUGGUUUUUUUGGAGCCGGGAGAUGGAAUAGGGACUUGCUCCGUCCACUCCACGCAUCGACCUCGUGUUGCAGUACUGCCGGGAAGGGUGCACCUCCC